AGAGUUUGAUCAUGGCUCAGGACGAACGCUGGCGGCGUGCUUAACACAUGCAAGUCGAGCGGUAAGGCCCUUCGGGGUACACGAGCGGCGAACGGGUGAGUAACACGUGAGCAACCUGCCCCCGACUCUGGGAUAAGCGGUGGAAACGCCGUCUAAUACCGGAUACGACCCGCCACCUCAUGGUGUGCGAGUGGAAAGUUUUUUCGGUUGGGGAUGGGCUCGCGGCCUAUCAGCUUGUUGGUGGGGUAAAGGCCUACC
rnacentral:rRNA from 1 species